rnacentral:rRNA from 1 species
UACGGGGGGGGCAAGCGUUGUUCGGAAUUACUGGGCGUAAAGGGUUUGUAGGUGGCCCGCUAAGUCACACGUGAAAUCCCUCAGCUUAACUGGGGAACUGCGUGUGAGACUGGCAGGCUCGAGGGCAGGAGAGGAACGCGGAAUUCCAGGUGUAGCGGUGAAAUGCGUAGAUAUCUGGAGGAACACCGGUGGCGAAGGCGGCGUUCUGGACUGUCUCUGACACUGAAGAACGAAAGCCGAGGGGAGCAAACGGGGAUU